AUGCCAAUGAUGAUAUCAAACACCAAAUACCAUCUUUCGGGACUGAAAUUGUCUUUGAUGUUAUCAUUCUGCAAUUCUGAGGCUC